GAUGUGGCUCAGUGGUAGAGUGCUUGCCUAGCAUGGCAUGAGGUCCUGGGUUCAGUCCCAGCAAAAAACA
rnacentral:tRNA from 1 species